CCCAGCCUGUGCUUGCCUCCUUUGCUUCUCCUACAUGAGGGGGGCUGCACACCCCUGCCUGGCUGCAGAGGGCUAAGCCCCAAAUACUGGAGUUAGCAGGUUGUGAUGGCUCUGAGUAGCUUCCCCUGAGUGGGAACGGCCUAAGCUGGCUGGGGAGGACAGGUAUAAAAGCAAAACAACCUUCAGUGAAGAAAUUAAUAUGGGCUCGCCACGCAAACAGCUGUAAGAUGAACCUCAACUUGGAAACUUCCCCCGUGUCUCUUCUCCCUCUGGUCCAACUGAUUGUGCAAAUGCAGUGCAUUCCUGCUCCAAGAAUACAAACCUGAGCAGCCUGGUGCUGUGACAUGGCUAUGUGCUGGGAUGCAGCAGCUGCCUAUGCCAGCCUCGGGAGAGCUCAGCCUUGAAGGAGAUCAGGUUUUCUUCCUGUGGCUGGAGGAACCCAGCAACACGAGCCUUCGUCAGUGGCAAACAGUGAGGCCAGAAUGCUGUUCACUGCUUUGGGAUGGAGCCUCUUAGUCAAAAGGAGAUCCUGUGAUUCUGGAGUGGAAUGCCAAGGAGGAAUUGAACUUUGGUCCAAAAGAAUGGUAUGAACUCUCCAAAAGGGAUGUGGGACUCCUGUAAAAUGAGAAUUUGUUGCUGCUGAGAGCUCUUAGAAAUGUUUUUAGAGAUCUUUUUCUUCCCAUAGAUCUGUACAAUUUUGUCUUUCCCAAGUUCAGAUUUUGAUGGACGAACUGGUCUCAACCAGAACCUUGGCUGUUUCACUGUUGCUUUUUUCUUGUAUUACUAAAACCAACCUUUUACAUAACUUUUACUUGAAAUAAUAAAUUCAAGUAGUGCCA